rnacentral:rRNA from 1 species
UACGAAGGGGGCUAGCGUUGCUCGGAAUCACUGGGCGUAAAGGGUGCGUAGGCGGGUUCUUAAGUCAGAGGUGAAAUCCUGGAGCUCAACUCCAGAACUGCCUUUGAUACUGAGAGUCUUGAGUACGGGAGAGGUGAGUGGAACUGCGAGUGUAGAGGUGAAAUUCGUAGAUAUUCGCAAGAACACCAGUGGCGAAGGCGGCUCACUGGCCCGUUACUGACGCUGAGGCGCGAAAGCUAGGGUAGCAAACGGG